GACGAACGCUGGCGGCGUGCUUAACACAUGCAAGUCGAACGGAAAGGCCCUGCUUUUGUGGGGUGCUCGAGUGGCGAACGGGUGAGUAACACGUGAGUAGCCUGCCCUUGACUUUGGGAUAACUUCAGGAAACUGGGGCUAAUACCGGAUAGGAGCUCCUGCUGCAUGGUGGGGGUUGGAAAGUUUCGGCGGUUGGGGAUGGACUGGCGGCUUAUCAGCUUGUUGGUGGGGUAGUGGCUUACCAAGGCUUUGACGGGUAGCCGGCCUGAGAGGGUGACCGGCCACAUUGGGACUGAGAUACGGCCCAGACUCCUACGGGAGGCAGCAGUGGGGAAUAUUGCACAGUGGGCGGAAGCCUGAUGCAGCAACGCCGCGUGCGGGAUGACGGCCUUCGGGUUGUAAACCGCUUUCGCCUGUGACGAAGCGUGAGUGACGGUAAUGGGUAAAGAAGCACCGGCUAACUACGUG
rnacentral:rRNA from 1 species